rnacentral:rRNA from 1 species
GAUGAACGCUGGCGGCGUGCUUAACACAUGCAAGUCGAACGGUGAAGGCGGAGCUUGCUCUGUUGGAUCAGUGGCGAACGGGUGAGUAACACGUGAGCAAUCUGCCCCUGACUCUGGGAUAAGCGCUGGAAACGGCGUCUAAUACUGGAUACGAGCUGCGAAGGCAUCUUCAGCAGCUGGAAAGAACUUCGGUCAGGGAUGAGCUCGCGGCCUAUCAGCUUGUUGGUGAGGUAACGGCUCACCAAGGCGUCGACGGGUAGCCGGCCUGAGAGGGUGACCGGCCACACUGGGACUGAGACACGGCCCAGACUCCUACGGGAGGCAGCAGUGGGGAAUAUUGCACAAUGGGCGAAAGCCUGAUGCAGCAACGCCGCGUGAGGGACGACGGCCUUCGGGUUGUAAACCUCUUUUAGCAGGGAAGAAGCGAAAGUGACGGUACCUGCAGAAAAAGCGCCGGCUAACUACGUG